GGGACUGUUCCGUGGGAAACAGAGGGACAGUCAAUUCACAGUGCAAAGCACCGGAAUUAGCUCAGAGUGUAAUAUGAGCUCUUCCUCUUGUUCCUGUACAGGAAGUGCAGGAAGUGUUUGUCACUUGACUGCUGGAGCUUGAAGAGAGCAGUCAUGUUUUUGUAGUGCUGCAAAGACAGAAAUAAAGGCAUGUAAAUACGUUUUCUGUCUAUCUCUUUCUCCUGCUGGGGGGGGGGCAGGAAAGAGGGUGUGUGUUCUUCUCACGCUGAGAAGAAUCGCCUAUCGCGACCUAGCCUGUAUCUUGCUGGGGAAUGCAGACAGGGAGGUCAAAAGGAGACCAAGCCUGGAGAGUUGCCAGUUACAAAUGAGAUAGGCUUGAAUUCCGACAGUUUUGCUCUGGUAUUCCUGGCUGGUGUCCUUGUUUUCUGUCCAAGGGAGCCCUCAGAUUUCUCCGUUAACAAAGGGCAAGCAGGAAGGCUGCCUCCCCGUCACUGAAUGCCAAGGAGACACAGCUCCCCCACCCAACACCCCUGCCCUGCUUGGCAAGAGAAGGCCCUGGCGGCACCCGAGAUGCGCCCCCAUUGUCUGGGCCAAAGGGCAUCAUCGCUUCCGCUCUUGGCAGGGGACCCAAGCCUUACCCAACCUCCCAUCCGCCAAGAGAGAUGUUGGCAGCAGUAAGAGCAGCCACACACAGCCCUGGCACAGGGGGCAAAGCCUGCCCUCUGCCCGCCUGCUCGGGAGUGAAAUAAAUAAUGAAUUGCCUCCCCAAGGGGUCCCUGCCUCAGAAGGAGGACCGGGACCUCGGAAGGAGUGUGAUUGAAGGCUCCGUACCGGUCAGGAAAAGACAGAGACCACACCAGGAUUUUUUGAGAAAAGCAAAGCCUGAUCGUUAUUGAAAGAACAGAAAAACAAAUAACUGUUGCAACAGGGUCCCCGCUCACGCAGUGACAGGGAGUGAGAGACCCCGAACAGAAGGACUGCCUUGACUCUUAUACCUUUCCAUACAGGUCAAUAGCAGCGCAGGUGGCGGGGAGGUGGGAAGCGACAUAAAUGGCGUGAAGAGUGGAUUAAGAGUAGGAUGUUGAAAGACUUUCGGGAGGAGGUGUCAAUUUGCUGGAGGGCUCGAGUAAUAUGUGGCGAUCUUCGAUCUUCAUCCUAUUUAAUUCUGGGUCUGCUUUAAAUGGCUUUUCCUUUAUCUACAGGAAAAUACCUCCGCAACUGCUGAUAAUCAGCAUGCAGAUCGUGAGGCUGGAUGUUCGGGAAAUGGCUUAAAUGUUAAUGUGAAAUCCUAUUCUGCAUUGCUAUCAAUUCGGGUG